rnacentral:rRNA from 1 species
UACGUAGGGGGCAAGCGUUAUCCGGAUUUAUUGGGUUUAAAGGGUGCGUAGGCGGUUUUGUAAGUCAGUGGUGAAAGACGGUCGCUCAACGAUCACAUUGCCAUUGAUACUGCAAGGCUAGAGUACAGUAGAGGUGGGCGGAAUUUAUGGUGUAGCGGUGAAAUGCAUAGAUACCAUAAAGAACACCGAUUGCGUAGGCAGCUCACUGGACUGUAACUGACGCUGAGGCUCGAAAGUGUGGGUAUCAAACAGG